rnacentral:lncRNA from 1 species
UCUCAGUUCGUCGGACAAACAUUCAUCCCAAUCCAACUUUGCCUUCCAUAAAGUCUGCAUAAACAGCUUAGCUUUCACCGUAAUUGGCGUGAUUAAUCCAAGGGGGUCGAAAAUUCUAGACGAUGUGCGCAAAACCUCACGUUUUGUUAUCAUUUUGUUCUUUUCCAUAAAUUCGAUCUGUUGAAAUUUCAAGAUCGCACUAUUUUGUCUUGAACUAUGUCCCAGUAGAAAUCACCUCCAAUUAAUAAGGAUAUUUCAAAUUGCUCUCCAUCCAUGACUGGGUGUGCUAAUUGUAGACCACGUAAAUAUGAAAACUUCUGCGUUAUUCCUAUGUUGUGAGUUUGAAGUGGUGAAGCAAUGGUUGGUACAAUUAAAACUUUAAUAGGGAUUAAUUCUCCUUCUGUAGACUUAAGAUUAAUUGUUGUUUUGUCAAGAUUUCUCACCUUUUUUGUAGUACUUCCAAAUGUAGCUAUACUUAAUGUUUCAGACCCCUCUUUUUUAAUGUCCAAUUUAGCUGCUAGUUCUUCGGUUAUAAACGAGCGCUGAGCUCCCUCGUCAAAGAGUAUUCUUGCAUCUAUACAUGUAUUUUUGUGAACGAC